rnacentral:lncRNA from 1 species
UGGAUAGCAGUGAAGGGGUAGGCCCAGUCCAAACGAAACAAAACUCCAACAUGUGACAUUAAUGUAAAUAAAUAAAAAAGAAAAAAAGAUUAAAUGAAACUAUGUGACCACUAUCGAUCGGUCACGCUGGACUUUAAGUCGCUAGAAGACAAAAAGAACUUUGGACGGCUAUGAUCAAUCCACACGUGCAUGAUCAGACGGCAAGG